CUGGGAUGACCCGAGCAAUCCUGUGCCUGCUACUCUGCUGCCCAGGACACUGAGAGAACCAGUGUUCUCUGGGAGGAAACCACUGGUCAUGGUCUUACUGCUAUGCCCUCUCUGAUCCAGGGAUACAGCAGUGAAAGGUCACCCCACCUGCAGGAAGGGGUCGCUGACUCCAGAUAUGCUGUGUUCUGUGGAGUAUCCCAUUGUCACCAGAGUCCGGAGGAUGUGUACCAGCUGGGGCCCAGGGCCUGCCCCUUCACCAGCCCACCUUUCGGAAGUGCCUGAGGGCUGCAGGGCUUCGUUCGCAGAGCUCCGUGAUCAGCGUGAUGGUGCCCAGCAGGAUGCCUGGGGUCAGCGUCGGGGAAGUGAAUGGUGGGGGCCAGGGGCAAGAGAGUCUAUUGCGUGUGUGCCUGUGUGUGUGCACUACCCUUCUCCUGUGAGCUGGGGUUCCCAUCCGAUUUUCAAUUCUUCUGUCCAUAGACCUGAAGCAAAGGAUGGGGGGCCCCACAGCCUUACCAUGGUGACGCUCAUGAAGCAGUUGGGCACAGGGUGGGAGGAAGACACUGGAGAGUUCAGGGACCUUCCGGAUCAUGUGCACUGCAGUCAGAAUAGCCUGCAGAGGUCAGGGGCCUCAGACAGGGGUCAGAGGAGAUGGACCCCUGCAUCUACUACUAUAUAGCACGCAGCAGGCAGUGUGCAGGAGCACGUGCCAGGAGUCCCGCCAUCUCACCUUCUUGCGCACGUAGGGACUGGGCUGCAGGAGCAGUUUCUCCACCUCUGGGGCCAGGUCUCGGCACAUCUCAGCAGAGCCCAUGGUGCUCAAAGUGCACAAGGCCAGGCCUUGUACUGGCUGAAUCCCCUGGCUCAGGUCACUGCAGGGUUUGGGAGGACGGUCAGUCAAACCUCUGAGAAAAUCAGUCCUUUUCAAUACCCACAACAGGCAGUCCCCUGGGAUUUCCAAGGUCCCUACUCUCCCAUCUCCCUGAUUCCAAGUGAUUGCCAGAACCCUCUCACUUCUUGAUGCUGUUGGUAAUGAGCAGGUGGGCAUCGUGCCUCUCAUCCAAUAGAAGCAUGGCCCCCAGGUAGCCCACCCUCUUGUCUGUGAAUCUGGAGGAGGCGAUCAGUUUCAGGCACUCCAUCUAUAGUGAAGGGGGCAGACCAGGAAGAGGCAGGGGUGAAACCAUAGACACUCACAUCCCUGUUCCAUCUUCCUCUUUAAAACCAGAUUAACCUGUGGGGCAUCAUAUCUCAUCACUCUCCCUUCAACAAGAGGAGAAGCUUAGGAAAUUCAGGCGUUAGUGGGUAGGAGGAACUAGGAGUUGAGGAGGAUGGGAGCGGAGAGGAGGAGAUGCCUGCCCUAAAGGAGGCUGGCCAGAGAAUGAAGGGUUCAGGCCAGCUGAUGACCAGUAGGGGUAGCAAUGGGGAAAGAGGUUUGCAGUGCAGGCUGUGAAGACUCUGAAAUUGUAGAAUUUAAAAAACCAGGGCAUAAACAGGUGAGAGAGUCUGGGACUCUGCCCCACUAGCCUUCAUCAAGCUCAGGAGGGAGGUAUUCCUGGCCAGUACCUGUCCAAAGUGGGCGGGGUAGCCCAACAUGUGGACGUAGAGCAGUUUGGCCAGCUGCCGGUGCCUGUGCACUGGGUCCCCGUCGCGGAAGGAGGCCCGGAUGUGGGCACACUCCUUUUGGAUCACCUCCCGCUCCUGGGCCUGAGUCUUGGCCCCGCGAAUCUCUUCGAUGAGGUCCUGAAGCUUCAGCGAAGGCACCACCAUCCUGACUGGCAGAGUCCGGGAGUGGAGAAACACUCUCUGGUCGGGCGUGCCUGGGCUUUCGGCCCAGGCCCGUCCUGUGUCAAGACCCUAAGAGCCCGGGUCCCACAGGCAGCGGCAGCGGCAGCGACAGCCUGCCUACCCCAGGACUCCAGCCUCACCUGGCUUCUGCCUCAACUCCGCUCCUCUGCCCCCCAGCGCUUCCUGGUACGGGGCCGAGCAGGGGUUGGUGCUCCGUGCGGUCCUUCCCUCUCCCCGCCUCCACCACGGGACCCCGCCCUCCUGGGCCGACUGCAGAGCCUUCCUGAAUCCUCUGACCUCGGGCCUCAGGCUUUAGCGGAGAGACAGCAUGAUAGGCCUGGAGUUCUUCAAGAGGCCUCCUCGCACAUCCUUACCACCCGGAGAGCCUCAGUUUGGAUUUGAAGCCAUCGCACCCCAAAGGAGAUGACAAUCCCCCCC
rnacentral:lncRNA from 1 species